rnacentral:rRNA from 1 species
CCUACGGGGGGCUGCAGUGGGGAAUAUUGGACAAUGGGGGGAACCCUGAUCCAGCCAUGCCGCGUGUGUGAAGAAGGCCCUCGGGUUGUAAAGCACUUUCAGUGAGGAAGAACGCCUGGUGGUUAAUACCCAUCAGGAAAGACAUCACUCACAGAAGAAGCACCGGCUAACUCCGUGCCAGCAGCCGCGGUAAUACGGAGGGUGCGAGCGUUAAUCGGAAUUACUGGGCGUAAAGCGCGCGUAGGUGGCUUGAUAAGCCGGUUGUGAAAGCCCCGGGCUCAACCUGGGAACGGCAUCCGGAACUGUCAAGCUAGAGUGCAGGAGAGGAAGGUAGAAUUCCCGGUGGAGCGGUGAAAUGCGUAGAGAUCGGGAGGAAUACCAGUGGCGAAGGCGGCCUUCUGGACUGACACUGACACUGAGGUGCGAAAGCGUGGGUAGCAAACAGGAUUAGAUACCCUGGUAGUC